GACGAACGCUGGCGGCGUGCCUAAUACAUGCAAGUCGAACGAAGCUGUUUUAACUGGUGCUUGCACCGACUUAAACAACUGAGUUGCGAACGGGUGAGUAACACGUGGGUAACCUGCCCCAAAGCGGGGGAUAACACUUGGAAACAGAUGCUAAUACCGCAUAAUCACAGAAACCACAUGGUUUCUGUGUCAAAGAUGGUUACGGCUAUCAAUUUGGGAUGGACCCGUGUCGUAUUAUCUAGUUGGUAAGGUAAUGGCUUACCAAGGCAAUGAUACGUAGCCGAACUGAGAGGUUGAUCGGCCACAUUGGGACUGAGACCCGGCCCAAACUCCGACGGGAGGCAGCAGUAGGGAAUAUUCCACAAUGGACGAAAGUCUGAUGGAGCAACGCCGCGUGAGUGAAGAAGGUUUUCGGAUCGUAAAACUCUGUUGUCAGAGAAGAACGUGUGCGAGAGUAACUGUUCGUGCAGUGACGGUAUCUGGCCAGAAAGCCACGGCUAACUACGUGCCAGCCGCCGCGGUAA
rnacentral:rRNA from 1 species